rnacentral:tRNA from 1 species
GGGGGUGUAGCUCAGUUGGUUAGAGCGCCAGCCUGUCACGCUGGAGGCCGCGGGUUCGAGUCCCGUCACCCUCG